GAUGAACGCUAGCUACAGGCUUAACACAUGCAAGUCGAGGGGCAGCGGGAACUUAGCUUGCUAAGUUUGCCGGCGACCGGCGCACGGGUGAGUAACACGUAUCCAACCUGGCCCAUACUCGGGUAUAGCCUCUCGAAAGGGAGAUUAAUCCCCGAUGUUGUUGGAUUACCGCAUGGUAUUUCAACCAAAGAAAUUCGGUAUGGGAUGGGGAUGCGUUCCAUUAGGUAGUAGGCGGGGUAACGGCCCACCUAGCCGACGAUGGAUAGGGGUUCUGAGAGGAAGGUCCCCCACACUGGAACUGAGACACGGUCCAGACUCCUACGGGAGGCAGCAGUGAGGAAUAUUGGUCAAUGGCCGAGAGGCUGAACCAGCCAAGUAGCGUGAAGGAUGACUGCCCUAUGGGUUGUAAACUUCUUUUAUAUGGGAAUAAAGUGCUUUACGUGUGGGAUCUUGUAUGUACCGUAUGAAUAAGCAUCGGCUAACUCCGUGCCAGCCGCCGCGGUAAAAC
rnacentral:rRNA from 1 species